AUUGAUGAUGAGCAACGGGUCUGCUGAGGCCUCUCGACGGGGAGGCCGUUGAUGAUCCGUUGGAGCACUGAGA
rfam:Methanosaeta harundinacea 6Ac, complete genome.